rnacentral:rRNA from 1 species
CCAAUAGCGUAUAUUAAAGUUGUUGCAGUUAAAAAGCUCGUAGUUGAAUUUCGGGAUCAAUAUAUCGGUCGUGCCUUGGUACGUACUGGUAUCAUUGGUUUCUCCUUUCUGACGAACCAUGAUGUCAUUAAUUUGGUGUUAUGGGAAGUUAGGACUGUUACUUUGAAAAAAUUAGAGUGUUUAAAGCAGGCUUUAGCUUG